rnacentral:rRNA from 1 species
CGGACGGGUGAGUAACGCGUGGGUAACCUGCCUCAUACAGGGGGAGUAACAGUUAGAAAUGACUGCUAAUACCGCAUAAGCGCACAAAACCGCAUGGUUUGGUGUGAAAAACUGAGGUGGUAUGAGAUGGACCCGCGUCUGAUUAGCUAGUUGGAGAGGUAACGGCUCACCAAGGCAACGAUCAGUAGCCGACCUGAGAGGGUGACCGGCCACAUUGGGACUGAGACACGGCCCAAACUCCUACGGAAGGCAGCAG